rnacentral:rRNA from 1 species
AGAGUUUGAUCAUGGCUCAGAUUGAACGCUGGCGGUAUGCUUAAGACAUGCAAGUCGAACGGUAACAGGCAAGAGCUUGCUCUUGUGCUGACGAGUGGCGGACGGGUGAGUAACACGUGGAAAUCUACCCAGUAGCGGGGGAUAAGUCAGAGAAAUUUGAUCUAAUACCGCAUACGCCCUACGGGGGAAAGGCUUCGGCCACUAUUGGAUGAGUCCGCGUUAGAUUAGCUGGUUGGUGAGGUAAGGGCUCACCAAGGCGACGAUCUAUAGCUGGUCUGAGAGGAUGAUCAGCCACAUUGGGACUGAGACACGGCCCAGACUCCUACGGGAGGCAGCAGUCGGGAAUAUUGGACAAUGGGCGCAAGCCUGAUCCAGCAAUACCGCGUGUGUGAAGAAGGCCUGCGGGUUGUAAAGCACUUUCAGUUGGGAAGAUAAUGACGUUACCAACAGAAGAAGCACCGGCUAACUCCGUGCCAGCAGCCGCGGU